AUUGAACGCUGGCGGCAGGCCUAACACAUGCAAGUCGAGCGGAGCGGCGGACGGGUGAGUAAUGCCUAGGAAUCUGACUGGUAGUGGGGGAUAAAGUCCGGAAACGGGCGCUAAUACCGCAUACUAUCAGAUGAGACUAGGUCGGAUUAGCUAGUGGGUGGGGUAAAGGCCUACCAAGGCGACGAUCCGUAACUGGUCUGAGAGGAUGAUCAGUCACACUGGAACUGAGACACGGUCCAGAUCCCUACGUGAGGCAGCAGUGGGGAAUAUUGGACAAUGGGCGAAAGCCUGAUCCAGCCAUGCCGCUUGUGUGAAGAAGGUCUUCGGAUUGUAAAGCACUUUAGGUUGGGAGGCGUUACCAACAGAAUAAGCACCGGCUAACUUCGUGCCAGCCGCCGCGGUAAUUC
rnacentral:rRNA from 1 species